GACGAACGCUGGCGGCGUGCUUAACACAUGCAAGUCGAACGGAAAGGCCCUGCUUUUGUGGGGUGCUCGAGUGGCGAACGGGUGAGUAACACGUGAGUAACCUGCCCUUGACUUUGGGAUAACUUCAGGAAACUGGGGCUCAUACCGGAUAGGAGCUCCUGCUGCAUGGUGGGGGUUGGAAAGUUUCGGCGGUUGGGGAUGGACUCGCGGCUUAUCAGCUUGUUGGUGGGGUAGUGGCUUACCAAGGCUUUGACGGGUAGCCGGCCUGAGAGGGUGACCGGCCACAUUGGGACUGAGAGACGCCCCAGACUCCUACGGGAGGCAGCAGGCGGGAAUAUGGCACAAUGGGCGGAAGCCUGAUGCAGCAACGCCGCGUGCGUGAUGACGGCCUUCGGGUUGUAAACCGCUUUCGCCGGUGACGAAGCGUGAGUGACGGUAAUGGGUAAAGAAGCACCGGCUAACUACGUG
rnacentral:rRNA from 1 species